GAACAUGGACGUCUGUUGACCAACAAAUCCGGUCGAUCACACUCAUUUUGACCAUUUUUUUCUGCCGCGCGGCAAGCUCUUAUCACACCAUCAGUCAUUUUUUGUGGUCUGAAGAAUAAUGUUUGUAAGCAUUGCCACUGUGUGUUU
ensembl:ncRNA K01A6.15 ncRNA